rnacentral:rRNA from 1 species
GGAUGCGAUCAUACCAGCACUAAAGCACCGGAUCCCAUCAGAACUCUGAAGUUAAGCGUGCUUGGGCGAGAGUAGUACUAGGAUGGGUGACCUCCUGGGAAGUCCUCGUGUUGCAUCCCUCC